GGGGGAACGGUGGUCUAGAUUAAAAAUUACAGAGAUAUUACGGUGGGCCCGCACAAAAGCUGGAGCACUUGGUUUAUUUUGAAGCACCCGCGCAGAACCUUACUACCUCUUGACAUUCGGGGUAUGUGCACUGGAGACGAUGUCUUUCAGUUAGGCUGGCCUCCGACCAGGUGUUGCAUGGCUGUUGUCAGCUCGUGUCGUGAGAUGUUGGGUUAAGUCCCGCAACGAGCGCAACCCUCGCCCUUAGUUGCCAGCAUUUAGUUGGGCACUCUAAGGGGACUGCCGGUGAUAAGCCGAGAGGAAGGUGGGGAUGACGUCAAGUCCUCAUGGCCCUUACGGGCUGGGCUACACACGUGCUACAAUGGUGGUGACAGUGGGCAGCGAGACAGCGAUGUCGAGCUAAUCUCCAAAAGCCAUCUCAGUUCGGAUUGCACUCUGCAACUCGAGUGCACGAAGUUGGAAUCGCUAGUAAUCUAAGAUCAGCAUGUUGCGGUGAAUACGUUCCCGGGCCUUGUACACAACGCUAGUCUCACCAUGGGAGCUGGUCUUACCCGAAGGUAGUGCCCCACCCCCAAGCCGGCAGCUAACCGCGGUAUCUUCCUGCGACUGAGAUGCCGAAGUC
rnacentral:rRNA from 1 species